GACGAACGCUGGCGGCGUGCCUAACACAUGCAAGUCUGGGAGAAUUGGGUAGCAAUAUCCAUUGUAAACCGGCGCACGGGUGAGUAAUAUAUAGGUAAUAUGCCUUUUGGUUUGGAAUAACCCCGCGAAAGCGGGGCUAAUACUGAAUGAUGCAGCGUUUCCGCAUGGAGAUGUUGUUAAAGCUUCGGUGCCAAGAGAUUAACCUGUAUCCCAUUAGAUAGUUGGUGAGGAACGGCUCACCAAGUCUGCGAUGGGUAGCUGAUCUGAGAGGAUGAUCAGCCACACUGGAACUGAGACACGGUCCAGACUCCUACGGGAGGCAGCAGUGAGGAAUAUUGCGCAAUGGAAGAAACUCUGACGCAGCGACGCCGNGUGAAGGAUGAAGGCCCUCUGGGUUGUAAACCUCUUUCAGCUCCGACGAAGCGAGAGUGACGGUAGG
rnacentral:rRNA from 1 species